UGUUAUUUCUUGGAUGAAAGAUUUUGUUUCGAUUCUGUUUUUCACAAAUAAAAAUACUUAACAGUCCAAAUAUACACAUUUGCAUAAAUAAUUUUCAACAGACAACUUUAUAAUAACAAACAAAAUCACAGAUCUAUUUCAUGUAAUAUCAUGUAAUAAAAUGUGGACACAGAUAGAUGUCUCCCAUUAUGUUAAUGCCAUGACAGACCAAAUAUCAUUGCCCUGAAUACACCAAUACACCCAGAUCUUCUUAAAAUGUGGACACAGAUAGAUGUCUCCCAUAAUGUUAAUGCCAUGACAGACCAAAUAUCAUUGACCUGAAUACAACCAGAUCUUGGUAAACUGCUGUGGUAAUAUGAAGCAGGAUAACCUAUAAAUAUGUAUCAUCAUACAAUCAUAAUAAAUGUCAAAAUUAAUGGUUAAGUACAUCCACCCUAUUUUUGUAAAACAAAGUUUUCAUUGUGGAACAUCUGCAAUUAUAAAGAUUUGUC
rnacentral:lncRNA from 1 species